rnacentral:rRNA from 1 species
UGCAGGUCUCAGUAUAAACUGAAAUAAGGUGAAACCGCGAAUGGCUCAUUACAUCAGUUAUGGUUCCUUAGAUCUUCGGUUUCCUACUUGGAUAACCCUGGAAAUUCUAGAGCUAAUACAUGCAGAUGUAGCUCCGACCCUUUGGGAAGGGGCGUUUUUGUUAGAUCAAAACCAAUCAGGGUUUUGGCCCUGUCCUUUGGUGAAUCUGAACAACUUUGAGCAGAUCGCACAGUCUUGUACUGGCGACAACUCUUUCAAAUGUCUGCCUUAUCAACUCGAUGGUAGGUUAUGCGCCUACCAUAGUGAUAACGGGUAACGGAGAAUCAGGGUUUGAUGCCGGAGAGGGAGCCUGAGAAACGGCUACCACAUCCAAGGAAGGCAGCAGGCACGCAAAUUACCCACUCCCGGCAUGGGGAGGUAGUGACGAAAAAUAACAAUACGGGACUCAUCCGAGGCCCCGUAAUUGGAAUGAGUACACUUCAAAUCCUUUAAUAAGGAUCCAUUGGAGGGCAAGUCUGGUGCCAGCAGCCGCGGUAAUUCCAGCUCCAAUAGCGUAUAUUAAAGUUGCUGCAGUUAAAAAGCUCGUAGUUGGAUCUCAGUUAUGGGCAGGUGGUUCACUUUACGGUGUUACUACCUGAACCAAACCUAUUGCUGGUACUCUUGGUUGCCCUUCACUGGGUGGCCCUUGAGACCAGAGCGUUUACUUUGAGAAAAUUAGAGUGCUCAAAGCUGGCGAAUGCCUGAAUAGUUGUGCAUGGAAUAAUGAAAGAAGGCCUCGGUGCCAUUUUGUUGGUUCUCGGUGCUUGAGGUAAUGGUUGAAAGGGACAGACGGGGGCAUUAGUAUUGCGACGUUAGAGGUGAAAUUCUUAGAUCGUCGCAAGACUGACUACUGCGAAAGCAUUUGCCAAGAAUGUCUUCAUUAAUCAAGAACGAAAGUUAGAAGGUUCGAAGGCGAUCAGAUACCGCCCUAGUUCUAACCUUAAACGAUGCUAACUGGCGAUCCGGUGGGGGUACUUCAAUGACCUGCCCGGGCAGCUUCUGGGAAACCAAAGUUUUUUGGUUCCGGGGGGAGUAUGGUUGCAAAGCUGGAACUUAAAGGAAUUGACGGAAGGGCACCACCAGGAGUGGAGCCUGUGGCUUAAUUUGACUCAACACGGGAAACCUCACCAGGCCCAGACACUAGAAGGAUUGACAGAUUGAGAGCUCUUUCUUGAUUUGGUGGAUGGUGGUGCAUGGCCGUUCUUAGUUGGUGGAGUGAUUUGUCUGGUUAAUUCCGAUAACGAACAGACUCUGGCCUAUUAGAUAGGCAGCGGAUAACAAAAUAGUCCGCAUUGUCUUCUUAGAGGGACAAGGCAGCUCCGAGCUGCAUGAA